CUACGGGAGGCAGCAGUGGGGAAUCUUGCGCAAUGGGCGAAAGCCUGACGCAGCAACGCCGCGUGCGGGAAGAAGGCCUUAGGGUUGUAAACCGCUUUCAGUAGGAACGAAAAUGACGGUACCUGCAGAAGAAGGUGCGGCCAACUACGUGCCAGCAGCCGCGGUGACACGUAGGCACCAAGCGUUGUCCGGAUUUAUUGGGCGUAAAGAGCUCGUAGGCGGUUCAGUAAGUCGGGUGUGAAAACUCUGGGCUUAACCCAGAGCCGCCACUCGAUACUGCUGUGACUUGAGUUCGGUAGGGGAGCAGGGAAUUCCUAGUGUAGCGGUGAAAUGCGCAGACAUUAGGAGGAACACCGGUGGCGAAGGCGCUGCUCUGGGCCGAUACUGACGCUGAGGAGCGAAAGCGUGGGUAGCAAACAGGAUUAGAUACCCUGGUAGUCCACGCCGUAAACGUUGGGCACUAGGUGUGGGUUCCAACCAACGGAAUCCGCGCCGUCGCUAACGCAUUAAGUGCCCCGCUGGGGAGUACGGCGGCAACGCUAAAACNCAAAUGAAUUGACGG
rnacentral:rRNA from 1 species